rnacentral:rRNA from 1 species
GGGGACCUACGGGGGGCAGCAGUGAGGAAUAUUGGUCAAUGGGAGGAAUCCUGAACCAGCCAUGCCGCGUGCAGGACGACGGCUCUACGAGUUGUAAACUGCUUUUGUACGAGGGUAAACGCAGAUACGUGUAUCUGUCUGAAAGUAUCGUACGAAUAAGGAUCGGCUAACUCCGUGCCAGCAGCCGCGGUAAUACGGAGGAUUUAAGCGUUAUCCGGAUUUAUUGGGUUUAAAGGGUGCGUAGGCGGUCGGAUAAGUUAGAGGUGAAAUC